UUAGUGACGGUCUCCACAUCACAAUUUAUGUCAGAAAAAUCUUGUAAAAUGAUAGAAAUUGCAAUGUUCUAAUCUAAAACUUAUAAAAAGUCUUUCUUUCUCUAACAUGUUUAAACUGAAGACCAUACACCAGGCGCAUAAAAGAAAACUAUAUUGAUUUGACUCCAUGGUAAGUGGUAUCAUUCUUUACGGCAUGGGGUAAAUAAAGGCAAACGUAGUAUACCCCUGUUCAAUAAAACUCCAUGGUAAGAGUUAUCAUUCUUUACGGCAUGGGGUAAAUAAAGGCAAACGUAGUAUACUCCUGUUCAAUAAAACUCCAUGGUAAGUGUCAUCAUUCUUUACGGCAUAGGGUAAAUAAAGGCAAACGUAGUAUACCCCUGUUCAAUAAAACUCCAUGGUAAGUGUUAUCAUUCUUUACGGCAUGGGGUAAAUAAAGGCAAACGUAGUAUACCCCUUUUCAAUAAAACUCCAUGGUAAGUGUUAUCAUUCUUUACGGCAUGGGUAAAUUAAAGGCAAACGUAGUAUAUACCCCUGUUCAAUAAAAAUCCAUGGUAAGUGUCAUCAUUCUUUACGGCAUGGGGUAAAUAAAGGCAAACGUAGUAUACCCCUGUUCAAUAAAACUCCAUGGUAAGUGUCAUCAUUCUUUACGAAAUGGGGUAAAUAAAGGCAAACGUAGUAUACCCCUGUCCAGUAAAACUCCAUGGUAAGUGUUAUCAUUCUUUACGGCAUGGGGUAAAUAAAGGCAAACGUAGUAUACCCAUGUUCAAUAAAACUCCAUGGUAAGUGUUAU
rnacentral:lncRNA from 1 species